rfam:Glomus irregulare strain DAOM-197198 mitochondrion, complete genome.
CGGAUCGUAGUCUAAUGGUAAGACGAUCGGUUUGGGUCCGAUAGAUUGUGAGUUCAAAUCUUACCGAUCCGA